GAUGAACGCUGGCGGCGUGCUUAACACAUGCAAGUCGAACGAUGAAGCCCAGCUUGCUGGGUAGGUUAGUGGCGAACGGGUGAGUAACACGUGAGUAACCUGCCCAUGACUCUGGGAUAAGCCUGGGAAACUGGGUCUAAUACCGGAUAGGAACGUCCACCGCAUGGUGGUUGUUGGAAAGAUUUAUCGGUCAUGGAUGGACUCGCGGCCUAUCAGCUUGUUGGUGAGGUAAUGGCUCACCAAGGCGACGACGGGUAGCCGGCCUGAGAGGGUGACCGGCCACACUGGGACUGAGACACGGCCCAGACUCCUACGGGAGGCAGCAGUGGGGAAUAUUGCACAAUGGGCGAAAGCCUGAUGCAGCGACGCCGCGUGAGGGAUGACGGCCUUCGGGUUGUAAACCUCUUUCAGUAGGGAAGAAGCGAAAGUGACGGUACCUGCAGAAGAAGCACCGGCUAACUACGUGCCAGCCGCCGCGGUAA
rnacentral:rRNA from 1 species